rnacentral:rRNA from 1 species
UACGUAGGGGGCAAGCGUUGUCCGGAUUUAUUGGGCGUAAAGAGCGUGUAGGCGGCCAGCCAGGUCCGUUGUGAAAACUCGAGGCUCAACCUCGAGACGUCGACGGAAACCGUCUGGCUAGAGUCCGGAAGAGGAGUGUGGAAUUCCUGGUGUAGCGGUGAAAUGCGCAGAUAUCAGGAAGAACACCUAUGGCGAAGGCAGCACUCUGGGACGGUACUGACGCUGAGACGCGAAAGCGUGGGGAGCGAACAGG